rnacentral:rRNA from 1 species
UAGGGAAUAUUGGUUAAUCUGCGAAAGCGGGAACCAGCAACGCCGCGUGCACGAUGAAGGCCUUCGGGUUGUAAAGUGCUUUUUGAGAGGAUGAGGAAGGACAGUACUCUUAGAAUAAGCUUCGGCUAACUACGUGCCAGCAGCCGCGGUAAAACGUAGGAAGCGAGCGUUAUCCGGAUUUACUGGGCGUAAAGCGUGUGUAGGCGGUUUGAUAAGUUGGAUGUGAAAGCUCCUGGCUUAACUGGGAGAGGUCGUUCAAAACUAUCAGACUUGAGAGUGGUAGAGGGAGGUGGAAUUACGCAUGUAGUGGUGAAAUGCGUAGGUAUGCGGAGGAACACCAGUGGCGAAGGCAGCCUCCUGGCCCAUUUCUGACGCUCAGACACGAAAGCUAAGGUAGCAAACG